UACGGGGGGGGCAAGCGUUGUUCGGAAUUACUGGGCGUAAAGGGCUCGUAGGUGGCCAACUAAGUCAGACGUGAAAUCCCUCGGCUUAACCGGGGAACUGCGUCUGAUACUGGAUGGCUUGAGUUCGGGAGAGGGAUGCGGAAUUCCAGGUGUAGCGGUGAAAUGCGCAGAUAUCAGGAGGAACACCGGUGGCGAAGGCGGAUCUCUGGGCCUUGCCUGACGCUGAGGCGCGAAAGCUAGGGGAGCGAACAGG
rnacentral:rRNA from 1 species